UGCCGCUGUAGCUUAGCUGGUAGAGCACUCGGCUGUUAACCGAGCGGUCGUCGGUUCGAAUCCGACCGGCGGCGUC
rnacentral:tRNA from 1 species